rnacentral:lncRNA from 1 species
AUGUGGCAUCAGCGCCUGGGUCACACUACAAAUCUGAAAAAAGUCAAAAACUUGGUAAAAGGAGUUAGCCUUACAAAUGAAGAGGAGGACAUUUUUUGUGAAGCUUGUGUUGAGGGCAAAUUAUCAAGAAAACCUUACAAAUCAGUGGGAGAAAUACGAACAAAACGCAAGUUGCAAUUAGUGCAUAGUGACGUUUGUGGUCCUUUUCAAACUGAGUCACUAGGAGGAAAAAAGUACUUUGUAACUUUCAUUGAUGACUACUCCAGAUGUUGUAAAGUGUAUUUCAUAAGAGAAAAAACGGAAGUCCUGAGCAAGUUCAAAGAGUUCGAAAGAAUCUUCUCGAAUGAAUGUGGACAGGGAGUAAUAAGACUCAGAACUGACAAUGGUGGGGAAUACACAUCUAAAGAGUUUCAAGAAUAUUUGAAAGCUCAAGGCAUCCACCAUGAAAUGACUGUACCACACACACCACAGCAAAAUGGUGUCGCAGAGAGAAAAAACAGAACUCUAGUGGAAUCAGCUAGAAGUAUGCUGUCACAUGCAAAGUUGCCGAACACAUUCUGGGCAGAAGCUGUUGCUACUGCAGCUUACAUACAGAAUAGGCUCCCAACAUCUGCUUUAAAGAAUGAAACACCCUAUCAGAGAUGGUAUGGAAAAAAGCCAGAUGUUAGCCAUAUGAAAGUAUUUGGUUGUGUUGCUUAUGCUCAUGUUCCAGACACAGAGAGAAAGAAGCUGGACAAAAAGGCAGUGAAAGUUCGUUUCCUGGGAUAUGCAACCAAUGCAAAAGGCUACCGACUGUGGGAUGAGCAAAAAGGAAAAAUAGUGAUUCGACGAGAUGUGGUCUUCAAUGAAACAGAGUUUAAAUGCAAACAAAGUGAAGAUGAUCUCUGUUUUGGGAAUGAGGUGACACUACACACGGAUGAAAGACAAACAAGUACUGAGGAGACUGUCGCCAGUGAUGCUGCAAAAGGAGAUCAGCGGAUCAGAAGACCUCCAAAGAGAUAUGGAUUUGAGGAGUUUGCUGACGUAGCUACAGCUGAUCAUUAUGCAAACAUCUGUUGUGUCACAGAACCAAAUACACUGGAAGAGGCUAUGUCAAGUCCAAAUGCAAAGGAGUGGAAAGAAGCAGCUGAUUUGGAAUAUGAGUCACUGCUGGAAAAUGACACAUGGGAUUUAGUGGAUCUACCAAAGGAUCGCAAAGCAGUUGGAUCGAAAUGGGUCUUUAAAGUUAAGCAUCACAGUGAUGGACAAGUGGAAAGAUACAAGUGCAGACUUGUUGCCAAAGGCUGUUCACAGAUUUAUGGUGCAGACUAUGAUGGAACAUUCUCUCCAGUUGUACGAUUUGGUUCAAUUCGUACAUUGUUAUCAUUUGCUGUGCAAAACAACCUGAAUGUGCAUCAAAUGGAUGUUGUGACUGCAUUCUUGAAUGGACACCUGGAAGAGGAAAUCUACAUGGAGCAGCCAGAGGGUUACAUCAAACCUGGACAGGAACAUCUAGUGUGCAAACUAAACAAGUCAAUAUAUGGACUGAAGCAGUCUCCACGCUGCUGGAGCAAAGCUUUUACAGAGUUCAUGAAAAGUAUUGGUUUUACACAGAGUACCUCAGAUCAGUGUGUGUUUGUUAGAACAGGUCAGGAGUUGGAAAUAUUGGCUGUGUAUGUUGAUGAUCUGAUUUUGAUUACAGAAUCAGCAGAGAGCAUGACGAACUUAAAGGACACUCUGAAGAAACACUACAAAAUGAAGGACAUGGGUGAGCUAUCGUACAUUCUGGGCAUCUCAGUGGUCCAAGACAAGGCCAAAAACCAUGUUGUGCUUCAUCAGAGACAGUAUAUUGAAAACAUACUACAAAAGUAUGGAAUGGACAGUGCCAAUCCUGUAGCAACUCCAGCCGACACAAAUGUUAAAUUAAGAAAGAGUGAUGAUGUCAGUCAACCUGUAAACCCAAGCAUGUAUCAGUCAAUGGUUGGAAGUUUAUUGUAUGCUGCCAUGGCCACACGACCAGAUAUUGCACAAGCAGUGAGUGUGGUGUCAAGAUUCAAUGCAAACCCAAACACUACACACCUUACAGCUGUGAAAAGAAUCCUGAGAUAUUUGAAAGGAACUCUAAACCUGGGACUCAAAUAUCAAAGAACAGAAACAGGAACCUUGAUUGGGUAUUCAGAUGCUGAUUGGGCAGGUGAUCAGGACGAUCGACGUUCUACAACUGGAAACAUCUUUCUACUUGCAGGAGGUGCAGUCAGUUGGCUUAGCAAGAAACAAGCAACAGUUGCACUUUCAACUGCAGAGGCUGAGUAUAUUGCUUUGAGCCAAGCCGCACAAGAAGGAGUUUGGUUAAGACGACUACUAACUGAGCUUGGAAUGGAAACCACAGCAACAGUGAUCCUGGAGGACAAUCAAGGAGCAAUUGCAAUCGCAAAAAAUCCAGUUGAUCAUGCAAGAACAAAGCACAUAGACAUUCGUUACCACUACAUUCGUGAAUGUGUGCAAAAUGGACAAAUCCAGAUGAAGUAUUGCUGUACAGAGAACAUGAAAGCUGACAUCUUAACCAAACCACUGCCUAGACAAAAGUUUGAGUAUCUCAGAGAGAAGAGUGGACUGUGUUCAGUUUAA